rnacentral:rRNA from 1 species
GUCCUAGUUCCGACCAUAAACGAUGCCGACUCGCGAUCCGGCGGCGUUAUUCCCAUGACCCGCCGAGCAGCACCCGGGAAACCGACCAAGUGUCUGGGUUCCGGGGGGAGUAUUGUUGCAAAGCUGAAACUUAAAGGAAUUGACGGAAGGGCACCACCAGGAGUGGAGCAUGCGGCUUAAUUUGACUCAACACGGGAAACCUCACCCGGCCCGGACACGGAAAGGAUUGACAGAUUGAAGGCUCUUUCUCGAUACCGUGGGUGGUGGUGCAUGGCCGUUCGUAGUUGGUGGAGCGAUUUGUCUGGUUAAUUCCGAUAACGAACGAGACUCAAACAUACUAAAUAGUACCGCGGCCCCCCGCGCGGUCGGCGGCAGAAAACUUCUUAGAGGGACAAGUGGCUCUCAGCCACACGAGAAUGAGCAAUAACAGGUCUGUGAUGCCCUUAGAUGUCCGGGGCUGCACGCGCGCCACACUGAGCGUAUAAGCGCGUCGUCUAUCCCCGCGCCGGCAGGCGCGGGUAAUCCUAUGAACCCCGCUCGUGACAGGGCCUGGGGAUUGCAAUUAUUUCCCACCAACGAGGAAUUCCCAGUAAGCGCGGGUCAUUAGCCUGCGUUGAUUAAGUCCCUGCCCUUUGUACACACCGCCCGUCGCUACUACCGAUCGGAUGGCUUAGUGAGGUCCUCGGAU